rnacentral:rRNA from 1 species
GCAGCGGGUUGAAAGCUUGCUUUCAAUGCCGGCGACCGGCGCACGGGUGCGUAACGCGUAUCAAACCUGCCUCAUACUCGGGGAUAGCCUUGCGAAAGUAAGAUUAAUACCCGAUGUUGUUGCUUUCUCGCAUGGGAGAGUAACCAAAGAUUUAUCGGUAUGAGAUGGUGAUGCGUCCGAUUAGGUAGUAGGCGGGGUAACGGCCCACCUAGCCUUCGAUCGGUAGGGGUUCUGAGAGGAAGGUCCCCCACACUGGAACUGAGACACGGUCCAGACUCCUACGGGAGGCAGCAGUGAGGAAUAUUGGUCAAUGGGCGAGAGCCUGAACCAGCCAAGUAGCGUGCAGGAUGACGGCCCUCCGGGUUGUAAACUGCUUUUAGUUGGGAAUAAAAAAAGGGACUUGUCCCUUCUUGUAUGUACCUUCAGAAAAAGGACCGGCUAAUUCCGUGCCAGCAGCCGCGGUAAUACGGAAGGUCCAGGCGUUAUCCGGAUUUAUUGGGUUUAAAGGGAGCGUAGGCGGAUUGUUAAGUCAGCGGUUAAAGGGUGUGGCUCAACCAUGCAUUGCCGUUGAAACUGGCGAUCUUGAGUGCAGACAGGGAUGCCGGAAUUCGUGGUGUAGCGGUGAAAUGCUUAGAUAUCACGAAGAACUCCGAUCGCGAAGGCAGGUGUCCGGGCUGCAACUGACGCUGAGGCUCGAAAGUGUGGGUAUCAAACAGGAUUAGAUACCCUGGUAGUCCACACAGUAAACGAUGUAUACUCGCGGUUUGCGAUAGACAGUAAGCC